rnacentral:rRNA from 1 species
AAUCAACGCUGGCGGCGUGCCUCAGACAUGCAAGUCGAACGAUUAAGACUCUCUUCGGAGAGUGCAUAAAGUGGCGCACGGGUGAGUAACACGUAAGUAAUCUACCCUCGAGUGGGGAAUAACAACCGGAAACGGUUGCUAAUACCGCAUAAUGCAGCGGCACCGCAAGGUGACAGUUGUUAAAGAUUUAUCGCUUGGGGAGGAGCUUGCGGCAGAUUAGCUAGNGGUAAGGUAAUGGCUUACCAAGGCUACGAUCUGUAACCGGUCUAAGAGGACGGUCGGUCACACUGACACUGAAUAACGGGUCAGACUCCUACGGGAGGCAGCAGUCGGGAAUUUUGGGCAAUGGGCGAAAGCCUGACCCAGCAACGCCGCGUGAAGGAU